rnacentral:snoRNA from 1 species
GAAUAUAUACCUGCUGUCUAAGAUGUUUUAGAUGUUUAAACGAUCAUAUAAAAUAUAGCUGUACCAUGAGGAAGCUAUGCAGUGUUCUCUCCUGAGCUUGAAGCCGGCUUUUGGUGGUGUGUCCGCAACUGCCUUUAGCCAUCAAUGAUUGUUCUCUUCCUGGGAGAAUAAGAGGGAGAGGACGCAGUCUGAGUGAU